ensembl:miRNA Mir7055 microRNA 7055
UCAGUGGGUUAUCUGAGUUGGGACUUGCUAUGAUGUUUGCUACUUUGAUACCCCACCAG